rnacentral:rRNA from 1 species
CUGACUGCUAUCGGAUUGAUACUAAGCCAUGCGAGUCAUUGUAGCAAUACAAGGCAGACGGCUCAGUAACGCGUAGUCAACCUAACCUAUGGACGGGAAUAACCUCGGGAAACUGAGUAUAAUGCCCGAUAGAACAUUAUGCCUGGAAUGGUUUAUGUUCCAAAUGAUUUAUCGCCGUAGGAUGGGACUGCGGCCUAUCAGUUUGUUGGUGAGGUAAUGGCCCACCAAGACUAUUACAGGUACGGGCUCUGAGAGGAGUAGCCCGGAGAUGGGUACUGAGACACGGACCCAGGCCCUAUGGGGCGCAGCAGGCGAGAAAACUUUGCAAUGUGCGAAAGCACGACAAGGUUAAUCCGAGUGGUUUCUGCUAAAGGAACCUUUUGACAGUCCUAGAAACACUGUUGAAUAAGGGGUGGGCAAGUUCUGGUGUCAGCCGCCGCGGUAAAACCAGCACCUCAAGUGGUCAGGAUGAUUAUUGGGCCUAAAGCAUCCGUAGCCGGCUCUGUAAGUUUUCGGUUAAAUCUGUACGCUCAACGUACAGGCCGCCGGGAAUACUGCAGAGCUAGGGAGUGGGAGAGGUAGGCGGUACUCGGUAGGAAGGGGUAAAAUCCUUUGAUCUGUUGAUGACCACCUGUGGCGAAGGCGGUCUACCAGAACACGU